GCAAUUUAUUGAUAAUUAUUUUAUUGCUUCCUACCUAUAAAGGUGCCGCUGUAAAAAGCUUGUCUCCUGACAUUAAAAGAAUUCAGAGCAGUUAAAUCCCUUGCCGAGAGUUGGGUGUCCUCUUCCUCCUCUUCCUCCUCAUCACCAAACAAGAUCAUCACCAACUUGUUUCAACCUCUGCCCCCAACUAACACCACCCUCAUCUAUGCUGUCCUCCCCCACUACAUCCAAGUCGCAUUGAUGGAAAAAGACGGUAAAAGAUGCCAAGAGUUAUGUGCAGCCCAGGUGGACACACCUACAUAGAUCUUAAAAUUGUGGAACUCCUUCGCCUUCUUUAAGUUCCCUCCCGCAGCCUGAAACCGAUAGUAAUCCCCCGAUGUUGUCCUGCACUCAACUAGCUCGCUGGACGUUACAUGGCACCACAUACAUGGCACCACAGACAAAGUUUCGUGUAAUAAUACACACAGUUGAUUGAAGUAAGUCGUACCUGAGGCACCAGAUAAUCCGAACAUGAGGCAAAGGAACCACCCGGACAUUAUGUUUCCUGAAAUAAACAACUUACCGCCACGUUUUAGCCCUAAGGUCAUUGACUUGCCCUCGAAAACGGGCGGGGUUGUCACAGGGUCAUCAUUGAAGAUUAGCAUGUCUGAGAUCUUCUGCCAAAGAUCAGGGUGUAGGAGAUUGGGCCGUCCUUUGAAGAGAAGAUCUGAAGCACCUCAUCGCCAGCGCUCACUCUCUUUCCAGAGUUGAUGAGCUAGCUUUUCCACUGGGGACUCGUGGGGAGGUUACUUGGACGAAGGGUUGGAGAACUCUGCAAGCUGCGAGUAAUCAACUGUAGCAAGGGGUCGAUCUUUGGGUCGGCUGAGCAAUUCAUUGGCAUCAAGAGGUGAUGUGAUAAGCAGCAUGGACAGGAAACACACCGAGAGAUACUUAGCCACUGACACAAACAAUCACCGCACACAAGGUUGCUACAUCCACAUGUUGUCAACUCAAUUGGUUUCUACACGAGCAGAUGGGGACGUCGUUACUAGUGGUGAUUAUGACAAUCGAUUUUAUAUGUGCGAUGAUGGCCAGUGGUGAGAAAUUCUUUGGUCUACCUGGGGUGUACCUUUUUUCUGUGGCCGACCUGCUUGGCGAUUCCGAAAGGAGCAAACAGAACAGUCCCCAGGUAGCUAUCACUAUUUGGGGGUUGUAUUGAGUGCUAUUUUUUUGGGCUUUUUUGG